GACGAACGCUGGCGGCGUGCCUAAUACAUGCAAGUCGAGCGGAGCUUAUCCUUCGGGGUAAGCUUAGCGGCGGACGGGUGAGUAACACGUAGGCAACCUGCCCCUUAGCCUGGGAUAACUACCGGAAACGGUAGCUAAUACCGGAUAAUCCCUUUCCUCGCCUGAGGAAAGGAUGAAAGGCGGAGCAAUCUGCUGAUAAGGGAUGGGCCUGCGGCGCAUUAGCUAGUUGGUGAGGUAACGGCUCACCAAGGCGACGAUGCGUAGCCGACCUGAGAGGGUGAACGGCCACACUGGGACUGAGACACGGCCCAGACUCCUACGGGAGGCAGCAGUAGGGAAUCUUCCGCAAUGGGCGAAAGCCCUGACGGAGCAAACGCCGCGUGAGUGAUGAAAGGUUUUUCGGAUUCGUAAAAGCU
rnacentral:rRNA from 1 species